AGUUAACACGAACCGGUACGCCCGAGCGAAAGGAAAGGAAAUCAGCCCCACUCCCCCCGCAUGCCCUGCCUCCUAUCCCAUCUCCACCCCCUGCCACGCCCCUCACCGCGCGCCGCCACCGCCCACCCCGCCGGCGCGCCCACCCUACCCGACCGGCUACACGCGGAUGACGCUCGAGCGGACCUUCUGGAUCGGUUCAACACGGCGGCUCGAGCGGUUGGGGUGGCACGGCUGCUCGAUGCAGAACGGCGGCGGCGGCUGGAGCUUGCAGGGGCCGGAUUCGUGCGUGCCAGGGGUUGGGGAGGCUAAUCCGAAGGCGGGCGGCUAGGCGGGGGCUCACCGGUGACGACGAGGAAAGCCGGAGCGAGGGAUCCGGCGACCUAGGCAGCAGCUCGCUAAAGCCGGGCGACGGUGGACGGGGGCGUGAGACGGAGGGAUCCGGCGUGGCAGCGGAAUUCCUUGCAGGUAGAGAGCUCCAGGCCAUGGCGGGGCUUCAGUUUUCCCUGGUGGAAAAGAGAGAAAGAGGAGGAUUCAGGGAGGAGGAGAAGUAGGGAGAAGAAGGUGCGGGUGCGAGCUUGGGGAAGAGGGAGCCGAACGUCAAGUGAAAGACAGGGAGGAUCAGGGAUUCUUCUUAGCCGGCGUGUGCAGAGAAGAUGAACCAUGCAAAAACUCAGGGUGGACCACGGGGUCUUCACUGCUGGCGGAACAGGGCAUGGCUGCUACCAGGGUGAUCCAAAGGGAGUAUCUAGGUAUUAAUAUCUGUGAUGUGGCUAGCAAUGUUGGCAACAGAGCUACCUGGAACUUUUGAUUUUGGUGCCAAUAUGGAUGGAUUCAACUGGGUGACCCUCUGUCAGCUAAAGAGUUUUGAAUGCUGAAAACAUCAACCAAGGUACAACAGAGCCUCCUUAGACAAUUCUAUGUUAGUUUUCCAAUGUAGCUGACCAGCUAAGGCCUGAGCUCCUUAACUUUCCAUCUUCAGCAACUAUUUUCGAGGACAUCCUUGUGAUUUUAAAGAUGAAGAAGAGAGUUCUCUUACUAGCUAUAUAUAUUAUUACUAAUCAAGGUGCGCCAGUCCCUUGAUUGUUCUUCAUGCAAUGAUGUGUUUGACAUGCUUGAAAAAAAAACAAGAGACUUACUCAGUGGUCAAGGGCAGAAUGUAGACUUACUGUAACUAGCUACCAAUGUGACAUACUAUUGGUCAGGUUUCACAACUAAAUAAUAUGCUGGAGUUCUCCUAUUCUGGAACAAAUUCACCAUGCCUGGAAUUGAUCAUUCAGUGGUGCAGUUCAAAUGGUGUAUCCUCCGUUUGUCAUAAGUUCUGAGGAUCUUAUGAUCAAGAUAGAUCAUGAUGGGUUUCAUACGUGAAAUUUUGCUUAAUGGAUGCUCCAAGUUUCCUCUGAUCAGCAUACCUAUGGGAUACAGGCCUCUGUUUUCCCCUGGUACUGCUGAACUUUUGUUUCCUCUGAUGCAGGAGCAACACUUCCAGUUUGAUUGCAUGAGGGAAGGGUCUGACUUCAAUUGCUUCAGGGUAGUAGUACAUGUUUUUCUUUCUUUGCGUAGAAGCGUAGUACAUGGGGUAAAACAUGUCGAGAACUGAACUUUAGUAGCAAGGACAACAAAGUUAUCUGAAAAUACUGUCUAGAUGGUCAUAGAACGCCAAACAGUAAGAAAAACUGUAAAGAAAUGCGAACCAAAAGGAAGGGGCAAAUUGUUCUGUAAUGUGAGAGGUCCGAUUGAACUCUGUAGUGGUUAUCUUAUUUCUAUUGGUUCUGUGCUAACUUGCUUAUGUAUGCAAGUUACUCUGAAGCAACACGAUAAACAAGUACAUUCAUUUUGAUCAUGAAAAUAAGGUCUAUCUAGCAUAAUCUAAUUUGUGUAUCGUUAUUUCGUACAUUCAUUUUUACUUUGGUCCAUAAGUUUCCAGAGAUCUUCUAUUUGAAACAACCAACCCGUUCUUCUUUCGAGAAUGUAGAAGCUAUAUAAGUAUACUUAUUUUCAAUAUAUGUUGAAGAAUUUGGUACCAACAGAAUUUUCCGCAACUAACAGUGUGCACAUUUGUCAUGGUUGAAUUUCUUUUAUUAUUGAAAACCUAAGAUUAGAAGUAUACCGAGAGUCAUGGUUAGAAGUUGAAUGCUAAGGGGUGUAAUAAUUGAUUUGGGUCAUAAUAAAUUAAAUCAAAUGUGAUGAUUUUUUUCUCCCGUUGCAACGCACAGGCCUUUUUGCUAGGAGAGGUAGGAGAAGAAGGAAGGGUGCGGCAGGGUGCAGCGGUGCGAGGGCACUGGUCUCCCGCGUGAGGAGCGCCUCUCCUCGGGAGGAUCUGGAGGGAGUGAGUGAAACUCAAAUCCACUUCAGAGCAAGGUACUGUUGUAGAAGUACGAAGAAGCAAGCUGACCAGAUGUACAAGUAGUAGCCGGCAACGACGAUGAAGCAAGCCAACCAGAUGUGCACGAAACGACCAUACAUCAUACCUGAUUGAUCCUCCGGUACGUGUUUCAUUGGCCAAUAGCCCAUGCUAGCUAGCUAGCAACCAUGUAAAUUUCCCACGCUUGAUUUAUUCCUUUAGGACUUUAUUAAUUUUAUAUGUUCUUCCCAUGAUUAUCUAGAUAAUACUAACUGUUGAUGUUUCUUUCACGCAUACAUGGCUUUGCUAGGAGUUUUUCCACUGGUGAGGUCUGAACUCUGAAUACUAUGAACUUAAGGAUAAAUCUUAUAGCAGAUCAAAAUCAUGGUCCACGCAAAAAAAAAAGAGAUCAGAAUCAUGGUUGUGCUGAUUCCAUAGGGGCCUCAUGAUGGUUUGUGUUCUUUUAUUCAAAUGAAAAAACCAAGAUUAUUAUUGUAACUGUUACAGUUGUACUAGCAGGAUUAUCCUAGAAGCUGUGCCAAUUUUUCAUCAAUUGAUAACACAGUAAGCAUGUUAAAGUCCAGCAAUUGACUUGGCUUAUUGUUUUGGAAAUCGCAACCGGUGCUUUCCUGCUUGUUUUUAUGAUCACUUGUGUUGUUACUGCCUCCAGAAGCUGCAAUCUAAGCCUUCUAUAAGAAUAUCAUCACAGAGUAGAUCAAAAAGUUGGAGCGACGAGAUAACAGCACUGAUUGGCUGUUCAUGAGCACUGGACAACCAGCACAAGAGCAAGGCCUUCUUCAAGGUACCAACCAUAAUGCAGCUAAAGCUGAAGAAAUGUUUACGCAAAGAACAUUCAUUUUCACAUCACUUGGGUGCUGGUUCAGGCUGAUGUGUGCAUCUCCAAACGAAGAAGCAGAUAUCCACUAAGAAGAAACUCAUCCGAGUUCUCAAGUUGAAAUCAAAUUGGCCAGCUACGUUUCAAAGUAUGAGAUGUGGUUGGGCAAUAAAUUGCAUCCCCUAUGCCAAGCCUACCGAGUUCACUAAAGCAACAAGCAGGGGAUCACCUUGAUGCAUAUUGCCAUCACAUUCAGACCCAAAGAUCUGGGAGCUGCAGUCUGGGCAUGAUUAACUGGGCAGUGCCAAAGUCAAGCUUCCGGAUGGUGGCGACAACAAUGGUGGCUGGAGGCGACGGGAUUAGCAGCGUGGCAAACAGUAGCGCGCAGCGUUUCACGGUAGGGCGUGUGGCCAGUGCUUGCGGCGGUUGUGGAUGAUGAAGUACUGGACCUGCGGUGGACGACCAUCCGCAAGAUCUACAUCAUCAUCUUUGGGUCAGUUCGCCAUGAAGGCCAUUCUGCGAACGAGGUUGUUCAUGUCCCUCCUCAUGUACAGUUGUACUUCUAUUCUAGGAUUUCAACUCUGCACUCCAUUCCGCGUCCUGAAUAUUCAGAGUCUCGAGUUUGCAUGAGUCUCGAUUUGAUUAAAUGAACAGGUCAGUAAGAUAGAUUUUUGGUCGA